rnacentral:rRNA from 1 species
CGUUGUUCGGAUUUACUGGGCGUAAAGGGCGCGUAGGCGGCGUGGUACGUCACUUGUGAAAUCUCUGAGCUUAACUCAGAACGGCCAAGUGAUACUGCUGUGCUAGAGUGCAGAAGGGGCAAUCGGAAUUCUUGGUGUAGCGGUGAAAUGCGUAGAUAUCAAGAGGAACACCGGUGGCGAAGGCGGCGACCUGGUCUGAUACUGACGCUGAGGCGCGACAGCGUGGGGAGCAAACAGG